rnacentral:rRNA from 1 species
ACGGGAUUCUGUUGUACAAUACAGCAGGUGUUCAGUGGCGUAAUGGUGCGUAACACGUGGGCAACCUGCCCGAGAGUUGGGGAUAGCCCGCCGAAAGGCGGAUUAAUACCGAAUGUGGCGAGGGGAGACAUCUCCCUGUAGCCAAAGCCGGGGUCAAACCUGGCGCUCUUGGAUGGGCCCGCGGCCUAUCAGCUAGUUGGUGAGGUAACGGCUCACCAAGGCUAUGACGGGUAGCUGGUCUGAGAGGACGACCAGCCACACUGGAACUGAGACACGGUCCAGACACCUACGGGUGGCAGCAGUCGAGAAUUUUUCUCAAUGGGGGAAACCCUGAAGGAGCGACGCCGCGUGGAGGAUGAAGGUCUUCGGAUUGUAAACUCCUGUCAUUGGUGAACAAGGCCAUCGGUUAACUGCCGUUUGGAUUGAUAGUAGCCGAAGAGGAAGAGACGGCUAACUCUGUGCCAGCAGCCGCGGUAAUACAGAGGUCUCGAGCGUUGUUCGGAUUCAUUGGGCGUAAAGGGUGCGUAGGCGGCGGGGUAAGUCUGAUGUGAAAUCCCGGGGCUCAACCCCGGAACUGCAUUGGAUACUGCUCUGCUUGAGUACUGGAGAGGAGACUGGAAUUUACGGUGUAGCAGUGAAAUGCGUAGAUAUCGUAAGGAAGACCAGUGGCGAAGGCGAGUCUCUGGACAGUUACUGACGCUGAGGCACGAAGGCUAGGGGAAGCAACGGGAUUAGAUACCCCGGUAGUCCUAGCAGUAAACGGUGCGCGUUUGGUGUA